GUCAUAUCGAGGAGCGUUUAGUACAGUGAUUUUGUCAUAGUUUGGAGAAGUUUGACAUGACGGUGUUAAGUGUUUUUGAUGACAAUCAAUGCAAAAAUGUAAACAUUCGGAUAUUUUGUAAAAGGAACUUCUGAUCAAUAAUUCAAGCUGGUAAGUACCUUUGUACAAAGUAAAUAUGUUAGUACAUCACAAGUUGUAUCAUAUAGUUAAUGAUUUAACACAAAACAAAGCUUGCGUAUGUCAAAAUUUCAAAGUUGCUUAUUGGUUUAACGUGCAUAAAAAAGUUAUUAUCUUUCUGUCUGUUACAUCACAUAUUUCUUCGUGAUAUAAUACUGCCGUCAAUUAUUCUGAAAAAAAUUACUUUUGCACUCAAUUCAAAAUUACUGAAAUACCUGUGUCAUGGUUUGGUUCAUUCGUGUCAUGGUUUAGUUCAUGUUGACAUGGUUCAGUUAUGUAAUUCUUGUCGUGUAUAAUGAAGAGUUACUAUCAAAAUUAACAACAAUUGUUUCAUUUGAAACACAAAAAGGGAAUAAGAACGCACAUACAAUGUAGUAAUAUGUUAUCAGUAGAUGCAAUAUGAUUGCCAAUGAGACAACUAUCCACCUAAGAUCAAAUCACGUAGAUGUUAGCAACUUUAUGUCAUCAAUCAUCAAGAUGCCUUCAACAUUCAACAAUGAGCAAAACCAUACUUCUUAGCAAGUUAUAAAAGGCUGCGACAAAAUCAAUAAGAAAACCACCAGCCUAAUUUCUGUUCAAAAUAAAUAGCAAAAUAUGAUAUACAGUUACAAACGAUAUUCACGGCAUUACAGAAACUUAACUUGAGACAGUAUAUACAAACUAUUGCGGAGUUAAACAUGUUUGCGGGCUCCCCAACCUCUUCUUCGCCUUAACCAUGGCAGACAUGUAAGAUUUACCAGAUCGGUUUUAAACAAUAAAAUCAAGUUGAUUUAGUGGGAUCUAGUUUCAAACCAAUAACAAAUUAUAAAAAAUCAUGAUUCCAAGAUAGCUUCCUUUUAAAUUUCAGGAUGGAAUUCUGCUGCCAAUAUUGUGAGCUGUACAAUUUAGAUAUAUUUUCAAUUCUAGGACACACCAUACUAAAUCAUUACAUAAAAAGUAAAAUAUUUGAAAGAAU
rnacentral:lncRNA from 1 species